UUUACCCUGAAGUGUUCGUCAGCGGAUUACGUCCCUGAGCCGAUAAGCAAUACAUAAGGGUUGGUACUUGCUGGCUAUUGAGCAAGCUCGGCACGCACCGAGAAGCCUACGGUCAACAUUACUGAUCCGCCUUGAACCAGCUGGUUCAAGGGUCAAACAUCUGCAACGGCACUUUGGGGUUCCC
rfam:Vibrio sp. MEBiC08052 genomic scaffold scaffold00001, whole genome shotgun sequence.